rnacentral:rRNA from 1 species
UACGGAGGGGGCUAGCGUUGUUCGGAAUUACUGGGCGUAAAGCGCGCGUAGGCGGCUUUGUAAGUUAGAGGUGAAAGCCCGGAGCUCAACUCCGGAAUUGCCUUUAAGACUGCAUCGCUAGAAUCAUGGAGAGGUGAGUGGAAUUCCGAGUGUAGAGGUGAAAUGCGUAGAUAUCUGGAGGAACACCGGUGGCGAAGGCGACAUCCUGGACCGGUAUUGACGCUGAGGCGCGAAAGCCAGGGGAGCAAAC